UCGAUACCCUUACAGACCACCGCCGGCGACACAGAAAUCGUCCUCAUUCAUCCGCUCCAUUCCAAUGUCGUGUACCUCAGGCUCGUGGCCACGUCGCAAACUGUCGCCGUGGACAUGGACAGGGAAGAGGUGAUCGAGACCUGCCUGUGUUGCAGCAACGCCUUCUCUACAACAUGCCUUCUUCCACCGUGGCUCCAAUCCACCCGGAUCCCUUCUGCAUCAGGAGGCAAGAAGGACAUUGACAAAAACAAGACCAUGGCAGGCGUUCUGGUUUGUUCAGACAACCACUAUUAGAGAUGAAGGUUUCUUAGAACUGACAAAUGCUGGUGCUCUAAUCAACUAGGAAGCUGAUGGUGGUAACUUGAGAAGCUUGUUUCUUUUUUUGGGAUUGUCGAUUCAGCAGAAAUCUAGUAGUUUUGUCAGAUUUUCGGUUCGCAGCAGAACAGUCCAGAAUAUGUUGUAAACACUAGCAUGAUAAUUCGUUCCUAGCAAAGUUGACGCUUCCACAUGACUAUUCUGACGAGGAAUCUUAUUUAGGGACCUCUGCUUAUGUAGUUAGUGAAUUGAUGAUUUAUUCCAACUGAUCAGUAUUCACUGCCCUAAGCCAAGUAUGGCGUCGUGCUAGUUGAUGGCACAUUGCUCUUGUUAAAUGUAAUGAGAUGGACAAAAUCAGGUUGCUAUCUGUGACACAAGGACUGAACUCCGCAGGAUAUAUAUCACUGACUAUUUUCUGUAUGCAAAA